rnacentral:lncRNA from 13 species
AUGAUGUCAUCACGCACUCACCUUCAUCCCCCUCGGAGCAUCAGAGCCAUCAGCGCAGGAGCUGGGUUGAGGGAAGCUUGUUACGGACUGAUGUUUGGUUACCGGAUGGGUCGAUGCCAGGAUGAAGAACGGACCCGGACUGCCGUGUUGGGAGUGAGGUCACUGGACUGGACUGAGUAUUGGAUCUCUAUAGGUUCUCAGAGGAUAAGGACCUGCGCAAGACCUUCUCAGAGGAUAAGGACCUGCACAGGACCUUCUCAGACCUGCACCUGCACUGAAAGGCAAGACUUGGAAGAUGAGUUAGUGUGUCAUACAGGAAGUGACUCUCUCUGUGUGUGUGUGUGUGUGUGUGUGUGUGUGUGUGUGUGUCUCAAGCUUUGAUCCUUAAACUGGGCUAGAUGAAAGACAUCCUGCUUCCCUCACGAUAGAGAGAGAGAGAGAGAGAGAGAGAGAGAGAGUGAAAAGUUUGUUUUCAGGGGUAGGGCCUUUUCCAGUGGUUGACAUUUUGUGCCCUUUGGCUGCAGGUGUGUGUGUUUGAC